AGGGUUUGAUCCUGGCUCAGGAUAAACGCUGGCGGCGUGCCUAAUGCAUGCAAGCUGAACGGUCCGAUUUAUCGGGCAGUGGCGAACGGGUGAGUAACACGUAAGAACCAACCCUCAAGUGGGGGAUAACCCCGAGAAAUCGGGGCUAAUACCGCAUGAGCUCCCCGAUUAUGUCGGGGAGGAAAGCUCCGGCGCUUGAGGACGGGCUUGCGUCCGAUUAGCUAGUUGGUGUGGUAAUGGCUCACCAAGGCUUAGAUCGGUAGCUGGUUUGAGAGGACGAUCAGCCACACUGGGAUUGAGAUACGGCCCAGACUCCUACGGGAGGCAGCAGCAGGGGAUAUUGCGCAAUGGGUGAAAGCCUGACGCAGCAACGCCGCGUGGGGGAUGAAGGUCUUCGGGUUGUAAACCCCUUUUCUCAGGGAAGAUAAUGACGGUACCUGAGGAAUAAGUCUCGGCUAACUACGUGCCAGCAGCCGCGGUAAGACGUAGGAGGCGAGCGUUAUCCGGAUUUACUGGGCGUAAAGGGCGUGUAGGCGGCACUUCAAGUCUUUGGUGAAAUCUCCCGACUCAAUUGGGAGGGUGCCAGAGAUACUGGAGAGCUUGAGGGCAGCAGAGGGGGGUGGAAUUCCCGGUGUAGUGGUGAUAUGCGUAGAUAUCGGGAGGAACACCAGUGGCGAAGGCGGCCCCCUGGGCUGUUCCUGACGCUGAGGCGCGAAAGCGUGGGGAGCAAACAGGAUUAGAUACCCUGGUAGUCCACGCCGCAAACGAUGGACACUAGGUAUGGGGGGUAUCGACCCCCUCCGUGCCGUAGCUAACGCCUUAAGUGUCCCGCCUGGGGAUUACGGCCGCAAGGCUAAAACUCAAAGGAAUUGACGG
rnacentral:rRNA from 1 species